GGCUCGGUAGCUAAGUUGAUUAAGCACUUGUCUAGCGAAUAAUGGUCGUGAGUUCAAAUCUCAUCUGAGCUG
rfam:Aedes albopictus isolate Foshan contig111147, whole genome shotgun sequence.